CUCUAGAGCUCUCACCAAAUUCUAAUGGGAAGCUGAUGGGCAUCUGGGCCUUGAAUCACUUUGCAGAAGGCUUCCCGUUCACCGUUUGAUUGGACUAUGGAGUGACCAAGAAGCGGCCUAUGAGGACAGCUCAUCUUUCUUCUCCAUUCUCCUGUUACUACCCACAUGCUUCUGAAGGAACCCCCAGGACUUAAAGACAACUUUAUGGGUUUCUUAAAUGUAGUUUGAUUCUGGAAUCUACAUCUUCUCCUAGCACCACAUUUAAGAGGCAAACUACCCAAUGAUUAGAUGCUAUGUCUGGAACUUACCCGUGUGAUCUUGAGAAGGCCAUCUAGAAGAUGUACAAGGUG
rnacentral:lncRNA from 1 species